CCACGAUCUGGCAUCUCUGCUCUACUGAGCUUUAAGAGUGAGACUAAAUUUUUCCGGAGUGGGCGAGUAGGCAAGGUGGUGGAUAGCGCCGGUAGCGGUAUGCGGUAUUAUGUUGCAUGCAUGAAAUUUAAAGUGAAUGGAAAAAAGUUAUUAUUCUACAACUUCGACAAUGAAUAGAGGCGGCAGACCGAGGAAUCCAUGUUGGGAAGAAUUAUCCUUCCUUUAAAAAAAAAAAUGGUAAAAAUGUUGCGUUUUGUCAGGGAUGCAACCGUGUAUUAUCGAAUACGGCUAAAGAAAUGUUAAGAAACCACAGCAGCGAAAGAGCCUUUUGAAACACUUGGCCUCGACUUCAAUAUCAGGGAUGAGCAAAAUCCAUUAAACAUCAUCCAUCUCGACUACUCGCAUCUGAAGGCCCGGAUAAAGAAAACAGGAGAAAAACUUUCGUGAGCAGCUUCUGGACAAGAGGAUGUACGACUUGGCGUCGUACCGCCUAGGCGUGCCAAGGCGGUUUUGUUUUCACUUUAGCAUACUGUUCGUACGCUGUUAGAUAAUGUAAUUUCUUUGAUGAGCGAGAAAGUUUUUAAUGUCAAGGAUUGAUCACGAGGCGAAUUUUAAUUUAAAAAAAUGUAGUUUUGUUUUGUGUUAAGUACACUACAUGUUAAAAAUAAAGUAUUAACAUUUAUUGCACUUUACUCCGAACUCACUUCACGCGCCCACACACACACACACACAGCAUUUUAUUCUCAGUAUCUAAGGUGUUGCUUCAUAGCACUAGUGUCAGCGGAUGCUUGAGUUAUGAGUCAAUAAAAUAAAAUGAAGUAUUUUAACUCCCAGGGGUCUCGUAAGAGUAAUUAUUCUUUGUGUGUGUGUGUCUGUGUGUGUGUUACAGACAAAGUAUAUAAUCCGGCAAUAUAUAUAAUCCCUAGGAAUUAUAUAUAAUGCCUAUCAGAGGCCAGGCAAAGUAUGUAAUAAAUAUUCUCCAUUA